UCCAGUCAACCCUAAGUUAGUUUUCUCUAGAAAUAGUAACUCAAGGCUGAGAAUGGAAUGUAGGGUGUAUUUCUGAGGUGUAGAAGAUCUCGCUUCUAACAAAUAGGAUGUGGGUUAUUUGGUAGUAUUGUACACUUGUUACAUGAACACAGGCUCUCAUAACAGUACACCUAGCUGGACAGCAUGGAGGAGUUUCAAAAUUUUGGAAAGAAAGUAAUGAGUAAAUGCCCCCCCCUCCCAUGAUACUUAACAAAAUGUAUUUUAAUUGUCUAAAACCUUGCAAGCUCAAUGGAUGUGUUAAAUGUGGCAACUAAUUCUAAACUAUUUUCCUUCCAGGUAUCUGGAAGGAGCCAAGACGAGAAGAAUUUAGAAGAAAUGUGUGAAAAUGCAAUGGCAUUUCGUGGUUGACUCAUGGUUUGUGAGCUUCAUUCUGCUGCAUGCGACAUCGAAAGAUUUUCGGAAAUACAUGAUGAGAAAUCUGGCAAAAAUCUUGUUUGGAAAGAAAGUUUGGAAAAACGAAAAUUAAGUGUUUUGAUAAAAAUAAUAUUGACUUCAUUCAUACUGGAAAGCAAUUUAAUAGUGCCUUCCGUACAUUACAAGUAACACUUAAUGUUCUGCUACCCAUAACUUAUGUAACUUAUUGUGUGUAGAAGUUUCUAAAGACUGUGAAACGUAAAUAUUGUUCCGAAAGCCUUACUUUAAAAAAAACCUUUGGAAUUGCAUGGAAAGUAUCAUUUCACCUUGAGCACGGACCGAUGAGGACUGCUUUGUCUACAUCCAGAUAUAUUAAUUUAAAAUGUAUAGUAUAACUAUACGGUACUAAACAAAUUAGCCUCUGAAAAAUAUGAAGAUAGUUUCUUAAAUGUACAUAAUCAGCGAUCUCUUGCUUGUGCAUAAAUGUAUGAAAUUGUAAUGGAGAGUGAAUAACUUAGACCGUAUUAAAAAGCACUGCUUGGAAAAUAUUCUAAAUUUUGUUAUAAAAGCGUCAUUUCUUAAAAAUUAUUGUAUUCAAAGAGUGAUUUGCUGAGACACAUAUCAAGGAAAAGACAUUAGUAAAACAUAUAAAUUUGUGUUAACCCUAAAUGACGCUUUGAAUUAAUAUGUAAUUGUUUGGUAAGUUUUGCAUUUUGCUUAUGCUUACAUAAAGUGUUAGAAAUAUUAACGAAACAUCUAAUAUUUCGGCAAUUUGUAUAACUUAAUUUGUUUUACUGUAUUAUAUAAGCAAAAUUCGAGAUUUAAUAGAAAUCUAAUUUCUAAUUAGAAAUUUAGGUGACAUAAAUAUUUUAAUUGUAUUUUACAAUUUCUACUUAUAGCAAAAAAGAGAAAUCAGUAUUAUUAGUUUUAAUGCAGUGUGAUAAAGAAUGACCAUAAUGUAUGAGCUAAUGCUUUUGUUUUAAUAAUAUUUUUUAUUCUUCAGUUGACAUAUAUACUUAACAGGAUUUCUCUUAAAAAAAUGCAAGUUCCUAUAUUUCUUACACUUGAUGAAAAACUUUAAAGUUCCAUUGUAAGCUCUAAAUACUGAUUCCAGAAGAAACAAAGUGACGUUUGUACCAAAUGCCAACAUCAGAAAUUAAGAACGAACUGAGCACUAAUCUGAAAGAACUGAUUUUUUAAAUUUACUUAUUUAAGAAUCAGGAGAGACUGAUAAGUAAGAAAUUCUAAUAGUUUUAUAUGGAUAUAUCCAUUUCCUUAUUUCUCCUGUCCAUUUUCCUUACCAUUUCUUUAUUCUCCUUUCCAUUUUCCUUAGCAUUUCUAUAUUCUCCUUUCCAUUUUCCUCAUCAGAAUGUAAAUAACUGUAACUAAUAUAACAAUUCAUAAUCCCUAAUGAACAAUAAAAAAUUGAAGUACUGAUAUAAUUUUGAUGGAAUUUACCAAACUACCAUAGCAAACAUUUUUCUCAUGUACUUUUAUAACUUAAACUUCAAUUAUUUUAUUAUUGUAUAACUAGCAUUAUGAAUAUUGUUAUCUAGUAUUUCUGAAAACAAAUUAAUUCUAAAUAUAAAUAGGCCGUUAUAACAUUUUAUUUAUAUGUGUAAGACAUCAAGUUUUUGAUUUUACAAACUGUUUAACUCUCUCAUGAAACACAGAAUAUACUGUUAUUGUUUAUAUGUUUGUUGUUUCUUAUGUGUUUAUCUAAGUGCAAAAAUCUUAAUGUCCUGCUGCAGCUGCAUUGAUAUGCAAAUAUAUACUGCUAUUUUAUUUCUUGCAUACAUAAGCAUAAAUAAUUUGCAAAUAAAUCAUUAUAGAGAUAGUUUUAUA